rnacentral:rRNA from 1 species
AUAUUGCGCAAUGGGGGAAACCCUGACGCAGCGACGCCGCGUGAGUGAUGAAGGCCUUAGGGUCGUAAAGCUCUGUUGUACGGGAAGAAAAAAAUGACGGUACCGUAUAAGAAAGGAUCGGCUAACUUCGUGCCAGCAGCCGCGGUAAUACGAGGGAUCCUAGCGUUGUUCGGAAUCAUUGGGCGUAAAGGGUGUGUAGGCGGCCAAGUAAGUCAGUUGUGAAAGCCCCGGGCUCAACCCGGGAAGUGCUUCUGAUACUGCUUGGCUUGAGUAUUGGAGAGGUGAGUGGAAUUCCAGGUGUAGUGGUGAAAUACGUAGAUAUCUGGAGGAACACCGGUGGCGAAGGCGGCUCACUGGCCAUAUACUGACGCUGAAACACGAAAGCGUGGGGAUCAAACAGG